rnacentral:rRNA from 1 species
AUUGAACGCCGGCGGCAUGCCUUACACAUGCAAGUCGAACGGUAACAGGUCUUCGGAUGCUGACGAGUGGCGAACGGGUGAGUAAUACAUCGGAACGUGCCCGAUCGUGGGGGAUAACGAGGCGAAAGCUUUGCUAAUACCGCAUACGAUCUACGGAUGAAAGCGGGGGAUCUUCGGACCUCGCGCGGACGGAGCGGCCGAUGGCAGAUUAGGUAGUUGGUGGGAUAAAAGCUUACCAAGCCGACGAUCUGUAGCUGGUCUGAGAGGAUGAUCAGCCACACUGGGACUGAGACACGGCCCAGACUCCUACGGGAGGCAGCAGUGGGGAAUUUUGGACAAAGGGCGAAAGCCUGAUCCAGCCAUGCCGCGUGCAGGAUGAAGGCCUUUGGGUUGUAAACUGCUUUUGUACGGAACGAAAAGCCUCUUUCUAAUAAAGAGGGGUCAUGACGGUACCGUAAGAAUAAGCACCGGCUAACUACGUG